GAAACGGGUGGGCCCUCGAAUUCCAGAGCCCGGGGGAGUUCAGUCCGGACGUCUAAUUCGGAGGCCGUCGGGAGUAGGAGAUUGCGUUUGCACUCGUCCCGGCGGUUGCUCAGGUGUCCCAGAGAGUCCGGACGCAGUCUCGCCCCGGAGCGGAGGACGCCGCAGCCGAUUGGGUGGUCUUGAAGUUCGCACCGGAGGGCCGCUGACAGAGGAGCGCUGUCGCGUCCCCGGAGCCCCAGACGUACCGCCCGUCACAUUUCUCAUGGUGUGCGAUAGGGGCCGAGGGGCCGGCAGUCGUGAUUCCGGUCGGGUCAGUCGCGCGGACACCCGAUCGACAGAGUAGGGUUCUAUUACGGGGGGUUCUCCGAGCCCCCCCGCCGCGGCGAGCUCCCUCCAGUGGAAAACAUUUGAAACUGGUGUGUCCACUCCCAGAGGGGGUCGGGCACGGGCCCCUUGGGGCGCUCCGUCGUCCGAUCCGUCCCGACGAGGCCAUAACGAGUGCGCGUCGAGGGCGGCGGCCGUCGGGCACCCCGGCCCAAGGAGGCGAGGGCUCUCGCGGCUGGCGGCGAGUAGGUCGGUCACCCACCCGACCCGUCUUGAAACACGGACCAAGGAGUCUAACGUGUGCGCGAGUCAGUGGGACUUGAAUAGGCCCACAGGCGCAACGAAGGCGAGUAACUAUGAGAAGUCGCGAUCCCCGGAUGAGAGAGCCGGAGGAGCAGCGGCGGCCCGUCCCCCCACUCGUGGGCGGGGCGGCGUCUGAGCGCACAGGUUGGUACCCGAAAGAUGAUGAGCUAUACGCGGGCGCGGAUGAGGCCACUGGAAACGCUGGUGGAAGCUGUCAGGGCCUCUGACGUGCAAAUCGACCCCGCGACCCGCGCAUAGG
rnacentral:rRNA from 1 species